UACGUAGGGGGCAAGCGUUGUCCGGAAUCAUUGGGCGUAAAGCGCGUGUAGGCGGCUUGGUAAGUCUGCUCUGAAAGCCCGGGGCUCAACCCCGGGAGGCGGGUGGAUACUGUCAAGCUCGAGUCCGGAAGAGGAGUGUGGAAUUCCUGGUGUAGCGGUGAAAUGCGCAGAUAACAGGAGGAACACCAAUGGCGAAGGCAGCACUCUGGGACGUGACCGACGCUGAGACGCGAAAGCGUGGGGAGCAAACAGG
rnacentral:rRNA from 1 species